GACGAACGCUGGCGGCGUGCCUAAUACAUGCAAGUUGAGCGCUGAAGGUUGGUACUUGUACCAACUGGAUGAGCAGCGAACGGGUGAGUAACGCGUGGGGAAUCUGCCUUUGAGCGGGGGACAACAUUUGGAAACGAAUGCUAAUACCGCAUAAAAACUUUAAACACAAGUUUUAAGUUUGAAAGAUGCAAUUGCAUCACUCAAAGAUGAUCCCGCGUUGUAUUAGCUAGUUGGUGAGGUAAAGGCUCACCAAGGCGAUGAUACAUAGCCGACCUAAGAGGGUGAUCGGCCACAUUGGGACUGAGACACGGCCCAAACUCCUACGGGAGGCAGCAGUAGGGAAUCUUCGGCAAUGGACGAAAGUCUGACCGAGCAACGCCGCGUGAGUGAAGAAGGUUUUCGGAUCGUAAAACUCUGUUGGUAGAGAAGAACGUUGGUGAGAGUGGAAAGCUCAUCAAGUGACGGUAACUACACAGAAAGGGACGGCUAACUACGUG
rnacentral:rRNA from 1 species